AUUGAACGCUGGCGGCAGGCUUAACACAUGCAAGUCGAGCGGAGUGAUGGUGCUUGCACUAUCACUUAGCGGCGGACGGGUGAGUAAUGCUUAGGAAUCUGCCUAUUAGUGGGGGACAACAUCGCGAAAGGGAUGCUAAUACCGCAUACGUCCUACGGGAGAAAGCAGGGGAUCACUUGUGACCUUGCGCUAAUAGAUGAGCCUAAGUCGGAUUAGCUAGUUGGUGGGGUAAAGGCCUACCAAGGCGACGAUCUGUAGCGGGUCUGAGAGGAUGAUCCGCCACACUGGGACUGAGACACGGCCCAGACUCCUACGGGAGGCAGCAGUGGGGAAUAUUGGACAAUGGGGGGAACCCUGAUCCAGCCAUGCCGCGUGUGUGAAGAAGGCCUUAUGGUUGUAAAGCACUUUAAGCGAGGAGGAGGCUCUUUUGGUUAAUACCCAAGAUGAGUGGACGUUACUCGCAGAAUAAGCAUCGGCUAACUCUGUGCCAGCCGCCGCGGUAA
rnacentral:rRNA from 1 species